AAGGGAAUCACCUGCCAUGUUUGAUCCUGACAAAGAAAAUGAUGAUAUGGCUGACGAAGUGAGUACUUUUGAAGAUAAUUCAAAUUCAGCUCAGGAAUUGUCCCAAUCUGGAAUUUCAUUUGAAGAGCCAAAUCACAUUAGUGCUCCUAAGGUGCAAUCUGUGCAGGGAAGGAGGCGACGAACUCCAAAUGAUUCAGAGGAUGAUGGAACAGAAGGAGCUAAGCGUAUGAAAGGACUUGAGGACUUGGGCCUAGGUGUUGUCUCAACUAGAAAGGUUCAGGCUGGAGGUGUGCUUGAGCUGGUUCAACAAGACAGUGUUGCAUUAUGUGAUAAUGGCAAUUGUACACCUGGUGGAAGUCCUGUAAAUGGGAGCAAAGGUUAUUUCACAUCAUUGAAAAGAAAGAGAACUCAGGUGGCUAAUGUUCAGGAAUUCUUAAAAAGGAAAAACCGCCGUCGUCCAUUGACAAAGGUUUUGGAGAGUACUGCUAUGGUAUCUGUUCCUGUUAUGUGUGACCAAUUAGCCAGUUCAAGUGGAUCACCCCUACGUGGUGUGUCUGAUGGCAAGGUUUCUGGAUUAGAAUCUAAUGAGUCAAAAAGAAGCUUUUCAAUGGUAAUUAACAAUAAUUCAGACAGCACUGGAGUUUCAUAUGAGAAUGGAGCCUCAUUAAAUGCUUCUGAACAUGCCUCUGAUGUUUCCCAUAUUCCCUAUAAGCUGAAGGAGAAUGAAAUUUCCAGCAUGUCUGGGUUGCAUGAGAAUGAUUCCUCAGACAGGUUAUUUGACGUGCCAUUUGUUGGGGAGGAAAAGCAUUCCGCAGGUAUGGUUGAUUGCAAAUGCAAAGUAAUUCAAUUCGAUGUAUACUGUCUUUUUUCUGUAAUCCAUGUCUCUCUUUGUCAUUUAAGCUAUUAUUAUUGAUGUCCAACCUAGCAGUAUUUGUAGUUGAACUUUGCCUAAUGCCAUAAAACCAUUGUACCAUGGAAAAGCAGGAGGCUACUUUGAGCUUAUCUGACCUAAUAAACCAUGGUCAAAUGACCAAAGUCCAUUUUGAAUGAUAUUCAACCAGUUCAGUAUGUUAUUUCCACUUCUCGAAAUGGAAAAGGUGUUCCUAAGAAUGGGUAUUCUACAUUACCCAACCACACUAGAGCAUCUCCAAUGGGAUGCUAAAAAGGCAUGCUAUCCUCAAAAUAUAGCAUUUGGCUUUAGUAUUGUUGCUCCAAUCUAUUGUACUUAUUCUUACUUUAAUAUACUAUACUGUUGUUUCUCAUAAAAAAAAAAUGUGCAAUGUAUGUGCUAAAAUAUGGCAAUGCCAUUUUUUGUGCCAAAUUUGGCAUUGCCAUUUCAUAUGCCAAACAACACUAGCAUUACAUUAAGCAUUAUGCAUUGAAGUAAUGUGCUAAAAUUUGGCAUCUCUGUUUUAGCAUUUGCAUCAGAGAGUAAUUGUCAAUGCUAAAAACUAGCUUUAAUAUUGCUAUUUUAGCAUUGAGAGUUAGAGAUGCUCUUCAGAGUUGGGACAGAAAGCUUGUUUGAGUUGAGUGAAUUAAGAGUACAAUAUUCAAGGUCUCUGUAAAGCUCUUGUAUAUGGAAUUUAAAGUUCUUUUCUUAUAUAGAUAAUUAGCAAGAGAUACUAUUUAUUCAAGAUCUCUCUAAAGAUACUAUUUAUUCUUGUUGAUCAGCAUGCAAUGUUUUUUGUUUUUUUUUCGGUUGUUAAGAUUUGGAUUGUUUUUUAUCUUCCAUAUAGGAGAAUACAUAUGUGCAAAGGAUAAUCUUAAAAAAGUAGUUAAUGCCUGCCCAAACAUUGUUAAAAAGGAUGUUUGAAGAUGAAGUACAUAAAUAUGUUGUUUACUCAUUUAAGACUCCAUGUUUGACAAAAGAAAAAACAGAAUAUAUCUUUCCAAGCUUUUUUAUCUGCUGAACUAUCUGCAAGCCUUUUGUUUUGGACAAGCAGUUUGUCUGAACACAUUUUAGGCUUUUGUACAUUCUUUUGGACGAGCACUUUAUCUAGACACAUUUUGGACAAGCCCUCAGAGGCUCCAAAAGGCCAAACACAGCUUAAGGGCUAUGCAAAAAACAACAUCCAUGCCUUACUUAGAGCUCAACAUAUUUGCUGUCAUAAAAUAGAAUUCAUAGGAUCUCAUAGAAUAACAUAAAUUUUGGAAUAUUAUAGUGUGCAUUCUCAUUUAUAGAACUGUACUUGUUUCUAGUGCUUGUAUGUGAAGCUUUGUUUUCUUCCAUCUAUGUUUUGUACUUGUAUUAAUGUAUCUUUUACCUUUGUUUUUUGUGAUGCUAACUUGUAUCCUCGUUAUUUCCAGUACCCAGUCUAUUGUUGUGAAUCAACUACACCCCUAUAAAACUGAUAAUGAGUUUUCCUAUUUCUUUCUUUACACCUGCAUUUUGUUUACUUCUUUUAUACUGCAGUUACAGUAGUUGUUUAACAAAGCCUCCUUAUGUGUCUUCUUGUAUCUCAAUGUGAGGCCUGGCACAAAAUAGUGAGGAUAUAUUGUUCUUCUGCUUAUAUAUUAUUUGAUUUCACCAGGUUUUUCUCCCAUAUUUGUAUCUUGUUCAUCGGGAAAGCCUCAAGUUGGUGGUUUGGGAAGGCAAUCUAGUCAAAGUAGUCAAGCUGAAACUGUGUCCUUGAGAAAUGAGGGACUUAAUGAAUCUGGUUCUACGAGUUCAGAAGCUGUUCACACCAGUAAUUGCAACCAGAGGAUAGAGAAAGGUACUUCAAAGUGGCAGUUAAAAGGAAAGAGGAACUCAAGACAUAUAAAUAAAAAUAGAAAACAGAACUUGAGAAAAUCUGUGGACAUGGAUGAUGAAUCAGAUGCUUAUUUGGCAGGUAUAGAGCACCAGGAUGGAUUCUCUCUAGGUUCUGAUCAAAAGGUUGAUUGCAAUCCCGUUGGCGGGUCUGUCAUUUCAGACAGUUGUACCUUACAAGGGAAGUCCAAGCCAGUUAUAGAUGACCAGGAAAGUGGACACCGGAAUUGGAGCAGGCAUAUUUCUCACAGAGAACCUCAUUUGAGGGGGCCAACAUCUGAGGUGAAACGUUUGCCUGAUUGCUCUUUGACUCCUCAACGAUCACUUCCCUAUCGGCAUUCACGUUUUACAGUUAACCCCAGGUAUCAGAUGCCAGAUCUUCCCUUCAGAAAUUUUUACUCAAAUUCUUGCUUAUAUGAUGUUAAUCUGGAAGUGAAAGCCAACUACCGGCCCCAGCAUGUGCCAUUAGUGUCCCUCAUGAGCAAAUUGAAUGGAAAAGCCAUUGUUGGUCACCCUCUCACAGUUGAGGUUUUAGAUGAUUUGUCCGAUCUUCUGCUGAGUGACUCUGAAUAUGACCCAACUACCAUGUCUGUUUCGGAAGGAGAUGAGAUGGGUUAUGCAGUUAAGCGAAAUUCAGAAACUCGAAGACUUCCCACCAAGCAUUCAACAUUGCAACUGCGUGUUUCACCUAGUAAAUCACCCAAGAUGAAGAAAGGAGGGCUCUUGUCAAAAAAGAUCAGGAAACUAUCUUCACUAACUGGUUCUCACAAGAAAAGAGAUGAAGAGAGGAAACCAGUAGUGGACAAGCUUAAGGGUCCUGCUAUAGCUUGUAUCCCACUGAAACUGGUGUUCAGUAGGUUAAAUGAAGCCGUAAACAGUUCAGCACGACCAGCACACCAUGCUCUAACGCCAAGCGAUCCUUGAAAUUGCCAUUUUGGGGGAGCUUGGGGUAGCUAGAAAACCACAGCCUCUGGUUUUCUAGGGAUUUUGAUUCAAUUUAGGCAGCCUAGUCUCAUCUUUACAUUUUUAGUUACAAUCAAUUUCCUGCAAUGUACAUUCUGCCCUGAAGGUAGAAUCCCUUUGUAUAAUGCCAUGAUAUAUAAUUGCCGUAGAAAGGAGCUGGGAGCUGGGAGCUGGUAGGAGUAAGAUCAACAUAGGCUGCUUUUUGUGUAUAUAGUGUAACAUUAGUUGAGGUGUAAAGAUGAUGGGUCUGAUAUUAGGUUUCAUUUCAGGAAUUUGGGUUUGAUUUUGGAGGGCUUAAAAUUUGAUAUCCCAGUGGUACACUGGUGUCAAACACAGUUAGCUAUUUAUUCCAAGUCACAUUUUCAGACUAUUUUAUUGCUUGGAAUUCCAACUUUUCUCUUAAAUUUUGCUGGUAUAUUUUGCAUCAGCCUUUUGAUCAGUUUUAGUUUAUAUCCUACUCAUGGUGAUGAAGUCACUGUAUCCCAUAAAUUCCUUAAGCUUCAUUUUUUGUCUCUCUCUGAGGAAAGCCCUUUCUAUAAGCUGCUACUCUCUCUUGGAUUAGUGAUGAGACAGACAGGCUUGUGGCCAGGCCAUAAGAAUACCCUGUUAUGGUAAUGCCAUGAAUGAUAUUUUCUGUAGGUGGAAAUGAAGAGAUCAACAGGUCAAGCAAGUAGUAAGCUGCUGAUGGUUUCCCAAUCUGAUAAACAAGGGUAUGGGGUUUCUGUUUACAUGCUGCAUAUACAUAUUGAUUUAGUUCUCUAUACUAUUUGCUGCAUAUGAUCAGAGAUAUGUUGAUGAUGAUUUAGGGUUUGUUUGAUAAUUGUUUUCAAAAACAGUUUUUUGUUUUAAAAAUUAAAAAAAGAAAAAAGAAAAAAAAGGAUAAACAUGUUUGACCAAUGUUCUUAAAAAUAUAAAAUAUAGUAUUAUUAAAAAAACAUUUUAUUAGUUAUUUUUUAAUUAUUAUUUUUUAAAAAAAGUUUAUUUUAAAGAAUAAUUAUAUAAAUAUAGAGAAUAUUAAAUAUACAGUAUUAUAUGAAAAAAAAUGAAAAUAGAUCAAAACAUUUUAAAUUUUGAGAUGGAUUUUUAUUUUAAUGUCGUCAAAUGUUUUUUAAAAAUCGUUUCCAAAAACUAUUUUUUAUAACGGUUUUCAAAAACACUUUCAAACUAGUGCUUUAAGGCUGUUUGGCAAUUGUUUCCGAAAACGAUAUUUUGGUCUCCAUAACAAAAAAAAACAAGAAAACACAUUUAACAAUUUCAAAAAAUAUCUUUUAAUUGUUUCAUAUUGUUUUCACUUAUCUUUUAAACACUGUUUUAAAAAAAUAAUUAUAUAAACAUGUAGAAUGAUUAAAAAUAAAAUAUUAAAAUAUAAAAAUUAUGUUUAAAACAUUUUUAAAAAUAUUAAAAUAGGUUAAAAACAUUUCAGAUUCUUGAAUAGACUUUUGUUUUAUAAAAUAUCAGAGAUAAAAGUUUUUAAAAUUUGUUUUCAAAAAUCAUAAUUUAAAACUAUUUUUUAAAAUAGAUGCCAAACAAGACGUUAGUCAAAUGGGCACAAGCUGGUUGCCUCGCUUCUUGGUAAGUUGUAGGAAAAUUCAGCCACAUCCAACAACUUAGCCCAAUUCCUUUGGUUUGUACAUACUAAGUGCUUCAAGUAUAGUUUUAGCAAAGCAUUCAUCAUUUCCAUCAACUCGUUUUUAGGUAAAAGUAUGUAAAAAAAUGAAGUUUCGACCUCAUUAUCUAAAAGAGUUUCGUCCAAAACUUCUAGUAAAAUAGAGAUUGGGAUCACUUUUGAUGUAUUUCGGCAAUCACUAAUAGUUGACCACAUGUUUCAAAAAUAACCUUAUUGUCUCCUUCAUGAUAUAGUCUAUAGGGGUUGCUAUGAAAAUAACACGAUAACCUCUCCGUUUCCACUAUAAAUUUGAAUGACAAUAUGUCAUUUAUAAAAAAUAAAUAAAAUUUGUAGGUUUUUUUUUUUUUUUUUAACAUGAAUAGCAAGCGUUUUACUAUGUGAAAUAUAUUUAAAACAAAAAAAAAUUACAAAAUGAGGAGUGAAAUGUUUUUUUUUUUUUUUUAAAUAAUAAAAGAGAUUUAAAAAAAAUUAAAAUUUAAAUAUUUUUACAUAUUAACAUGUCUAUCCAAAGAGACACUAAUACGGAAAUAAAUUGUUCCCUUUUUACCAUACUGAUACUGCGGAGCAUGUAGGGUUAAGUAAGGGUAUUAUGGUCAUAAAAAGGAAAGGACAACAACGUAAUAAAGCUAAAAGAGGCAUACCCCUGAGGUCUCAAAAACCACAGAACUAGGGUUUCAGUAUAAAUCAGAAUUUUAAGCUCCCUUUUCCUCUCACUCUCCAAAUCUCCCACAGCAGCUCGCCUAUUGCAGCCACAGAAAACCCUAGCAGGUCCUUUUCUCUCAUUCCUCGUCUCCUUCUUCUCCUUCUUCUCCUUCUUCUUUUCUGAGUGAAUCUGAAUCGUCUAUGGUGCUAUUGCAGGGAAAGGUGAAAUGGCGACAGUUCCAGGGCAGUUGAUUUGGGAGAUCGUGAAGAAGAAUUCCUCCUUUCUCGUGAAGGAGUUCGGGAACGGCACCGCCAGUGUGCAGUUCAGCAAAGAGAGCAACAAUCUCUACAACGUCAACUCCUACAAGCACUCUGGUAUUAGUCGAUCAUACCAUUACCUUCUGGGAAAAUUAUUUUAUGGCAAAUUGGGUUUUUUGAUCUUGUUGGUUAGAGCGGGUUGAUGUCAUUGGUUUCCAAAUGUUUGAGCUUAAGAAUUUGUCUUCUAACUGUUUGGAAAACCAGCGGGGCAAGAACUUAUACUUAAUUGUGACUGAAACCACUAUGUGGAUUGAGGUAGCUUGUGAUUUUUUGACUCAAUAAUAUGUCAUAUAUCGGUUUUUUUCCUCCCUUUGAUCAUUAAUCAAAAGGGGGUUUAAACAAAAAAUUGAAAUUAAAGCAUGGAAGAUGCGUACUUCUCAUGGCAUACCAUUUUUCGGAGAAAUAUUUGACGGGCAUUUCGUAUAUGAACUUGCAAAUAUUACCGCCUCAUUUUCAUUUCCCUCCAUUUCUGGAAAUGAAAAAUGCUUUGGGGGAUGGAACUAAACAUCGCCUUAGACCUCAGUUUCGAGGAAAAGAAUAACUGAACUUGAUUGAAGGUUGUGUCGUUGCAUAAGAAUUGAAUCUGGUUCAGAUUCUAAUCAUAUGGAAUAUAUUUCUAUUUUAAUUUCUGUGAAUGAGGAUCGGCAUAACUAUAAAGGAAUUUAAAUCAACUGGCCUCUAAAGCAACCAAAAUGUGGAUUUAAAAUUGGAGUCUUUUUAACUCCAUUUUCAAGGCAUCAAUUUCAUGCCCAGACUCAACAAAUUGCAGUCUCAACUAUUUUUUGGUUCCUCAUCAGUCAAAUGUAGCAUGUGGGUUUACAGUGUUUACCACUAGGCAUUUGGAAACUUUUAGCUUUUUGGGUUCAUGGAACGUGCAUUAGGCUUAUUUAUUUCUUUGUGGGGAUGUACUAGGGUUGGCAAACCACAAAACAGUUACUAUUCAAGGAGGCAAAGAUAAUGCAGUGGUGCUUGCAACAACAAAGACCAAGAAACAGAACAAGCCUGGUAGUUUGCUUCACAAGUCUGCCAUGAAGAAGGAGUUUCGUCGGAUGGCAAAGGCAGUUUCAAAUCAGGUACUAAAGAUAUUAAGAUUUUAUCAUCCUUGUUUGAUUUCAUAUGAUUCAGCUGUUUAUUAAUGAGUUGUUAAAUUGUAAAAGAAUUUUUUGUAGUCUGAUUGGUAUUUGAACGAAUUCCUUGCUUCUUGAGGUCAAUUGUUGAGCAGCAGAUUCCAUUGGUUUAGUGCUGUCUUUGAUGAUAGGUUGUUCAGUAGCUGUUGUAUUUAAAGUUGAGGGUCUACUCUAAUAUAAUCUAAACUUGAGCUAAAUGUAUCCCAAGGAUAAAUGAAUUGUUGAAUUGCUAAUUUGCUAAAAAUGUCAGUAGUUUGAUUGGUUCAUUGCUGAAUUGGUGCUUCCUUGUGCUCAAGUGUGGUGCAACCAGUGGCAUCUAGUUUGUAAUAUCAUGACAAAAGGUUGAUUAGUUGUACACCCUGAUGCUGAAUAGGAAUUCUGAGUGGAGGUUGUCUCACCCUAAAGGAAGCGGAUCUCUAUGGUGCUGGGCAUUCUUUAUGGAUGAUCAUUAUUGGAUUCGUGCUUUGUAUUGUUGUUGUCUAUUUGAAGGAAGACUUGAAAUCUAAAUUUAGGGUUGACUAGGUUUCUGAUAUGAUUGGAUCUUGGUUUCUUUACUUAUGAUAAAGCCAACUAUUUGCAUGCCAGCAAACAAAGAUAUUUUCAUGUGCAGUUAUUGGGGAUUGAAGAUAUGCAAAACAAUGCAUUACUCCACUCAAUAGCUGUUAAAGUCUUGUUUGCUUUCGUGUGCUGAAAUGUGUUUUAGAUUUGUUAGAGAAUUUUCUGUGUUUCAUCUUUGAGAAACUAACUAUCAAUUAAAUAUAGACUGACACAUGCAAGCUUGUCUCUUCUCUGCGUAUCACUAUCCACAUGGUAGAGGUGUUCAGAUGCAUGGAUAGUUGGUGUCAGCUCUUGAUGUUAUAUCUCAUUGGAGCUUAAAUGAGGAUGAAAGUUUGUUAUUAAACUAUGCACUUAUUGGUCUUGGCUUCUUAUCGCAUCACUUUCUGUUUGCACCUAUUUGAAGCCGUGAUGAACUGCUAACAUAUAAGAAGAACUGUCUUUGAUGGUCUCUUCAAUGAGAUAUACUUGUUACGCUUGGCUUCUGAGCUUCCCAUUUUUAGUUGGUGCUUUGGUGCAUAUCUCUUGUAGUAAUGCUAAUUAUAGUUGACAUAUUGCUAUUACUAUCUCGUUCUUGGGCUUUGUUGGUUAUAAUCAUGUGCUCGCAAUAUGAUGCUAGAAAAUUACCCAGCUUGCCUCUAGGGUUAUUCUAUAUUAAGUACUUCUUUAUGUGAAUUCUGUUGAGUUGGGAGGGGGAUAGUAGUUCAUACAAGUAAUUGCUUCCAAAGUGGAAGUUCUAUCCUGAUUGCCCUUUUUUGGGUUUGAUUCAUUGAUCUUUUUAUUUGAAAUCUGAAUAUGGUGUUCCAUUCCCAAAUUUAACAGUCUGAUGAAUGGUACAGAUGUUGAAAUGACCAUUGGCUAUUUUAUGAGUUCUUGUAGGUGGGAGAUAACUACUACAGACCAGAUCUAAAGAAAGCAGCUCUUGCAAGGUUGAGUGCUGUGCACAGAAGCCUUAAGGUGGCUAAAUCUGGUGUCAAGAAGAGGAACAGGCAGGCUGUUAAGAGCUGCGGUAGGAAGUGAGUUUCUAGUAGGGUGUGGAGAUGACAUGAGUGGGCUUCUCCUUUCCAUCAAUAUUUUUGUCAUUUUCUUGCAUUCUGGACCCCCAAAGCUCUUUUUUUACCUUUCAUUUUCCUUGGACGAGAGGAAAGUUGGUUUUGGUUUUGUUUUGUUUUAAUUCCUUUUAUCAGGAGAAGUAAAAUGACUGUUUAUUUGAUUUAAGAUAUGGUUACUUUGGGUCCUUACACUCAUGACCUGUAAUGGCUGCGCUGCUUUGUGUUUGAAUGUCUUUUGUGCAGGUUGGCUAUGAAUGUGUGAAACAUAAAAAGGUCUUAUUUAGUCUUGAGUUAGCCUAUAAGCCAUUAAUUAAUGCCUACAAUCAUCAUAUGCCUUCCCAACAUUCCUACCUUCACCGGCUGAGAGCUACCAUUCUGAGUUCAAUUGAAGGCCAAUUCUAUUUUCUCAUGUUGGUUUCUCGUUCUGGGUCAGAACGUUUCGUUGUUUCAAGAUUCAAUUCCUGUGGGCCAACUGGCCUGUGUUGAUCCUUAGGAAUCUGCAGAUGCAAGCUGCGUGGAUGCAUUUGUUAAGGCAACUCUUGUUGACCCUCUCAAUUCACCCAAUUUGCUUACCUUUUCUCCUAUGAAAAGGUGGUGAUUUAGAAAACAAACACUUCUACCGAUCACCGCUCUUGUAACAAAUAUAACAAAUAAAAAAAAAAUUGCGUUGUCAAAAGGGAAUAAUUGAGAAUUCACUAGUAAUCGUUGGACCAAAUCAAAUUCAGUAUGCCUUAGCCAGCAAGCACAUCUACCUUUAAAGUGUUUUGCCUCCAUCCAAGAAACAUCUCAAACUCUCAAAUCCAAACGUGCACAUAACCUCGUACCCCAUGGUUCUAUUUUUAUUCAAAGCCAAAAUUAUGGUCUAUAGUCCCUGUUUUCUGUAUGGGUCAAAAGUAUUUUUAAAACCCAAAUGAAGUCUUUAUAUGCUUUACGGAAUGAGAUAAAACCCGAAAAUGCGUAUGCUAUUAGCACAUGAUUUGGCCUAAUUCUCAAACUAGUAAGACUAGCAGUUGUGACCCGUGAUUCAAAACUACAUCCAUUCUUAGAAUAUGAAAUAAGCUGGUCAAGAUGCUCUGCCUCACUUGAUAAUAGUGUACAUAUUGGACCGACGGAAAAUUUAAUUUUCAAGAUCCCUCUUCGAAAUGACAAUUAAUCAGAAGGUGUAUGGUUCAUGGUUUAUAACUAUGAUCUAUAAAACUCCUAUGGAAUACUGAAAAAAUGUCAAAGUCAAAAGCAAGUAGUUUGGUACACGCGUUAUAGUUGCUUUCUCUUGCAAGUUUUGUCCUUUCAACCUAUAAAUUCCCAAAGCUAUGCUUGAGAGCGGCCAUUGUAGAAAGCUCGCCAGAAGAGCCCACAGCCAUGUCUGUUAAAUACCCUCUUGCUCUUGGCGACGAUGAAUCCGUUGUGGGUGACGGUGAUGUUAAUGCAAAACGGCGGCGUUUUGAUCAUUGCUUCUCAUUCAUGGAGAUCUCGAUGGAACCAGGAUCGUCAUUGAAGGACAUGGAUUCAAACAAGCUGAAAACUGAAAUCAAGAGAUGGGCUAAAGCCGUUGUGAUCUAUGCUCGCCAGGUGAGCAGCCAUUUUGGAAGCCAGAGUGGCUGAUCAUGAAUCUGGAUUGAAGAUGUGAAGAUGAUGAAAUUGAAGAUUUUUCUGUUGCUUACUGCAGCAUGCAGAUGAAACGAGCUCAGGCUCGGAGGGAGAGAAGAAUAGCUUGAGCUUGUUACAGUGCAAUGUGUAUAUUUUCUCAUUCUUUUCUUUCUGGAUUCAUUCAAUGUAAAACCUACUGUUUCUGAUUAAUAAAUGUAUAUAUUCUUGGUGACAGACCAUUCAAUAAACUACUGUUAUCCAACAGGAUCAGGACUGUGGGAAUAAUCUUGGUGUGGAAAGAUAGAGCCUGAGUGAAAUCAAGGACAACGUUAUCAGAGAGGGAGAUGAAUUGGGAGAAGUUGUUUGGAUUCACCAGGAUGAAGAGAAGAGAACCCUUGAGUGAUACCACAAUCCAAUUAAGGGAAUAACCCAUGUGUUCUACUUCCAAUAUUGAUCUGUAUCUACCAAAAUCCUUCCACAAUGGGAAAACAAAAGAAAAUUCAGUUGUGAUUACAGUUACCCAUUCACAAUUGUAGCCGGAACUUCAAAACUUGGUGUCUGAUAUGAGAAAGGAGACCAUCAUCUCUUCUGAUUCUUGCUCUUUUCUAGCUAGUGCCAGCAGAGGGCACCUGUCUCUCUGAGUCUGCGCUCACUCGGUCUUCUUUCCUCCACCCAAGAUCAUCUUUUCUCCUCCAGAAAUGCUCCUUAAAAGCUGCUUUGAACACAUGUGCUGUGCGUGAGUUGCAUUCUUCAUUCGGUUGGCUCUUACCCAAGCGGGUUCCUGUCAGAAAAUAGAUUUCCAUGUUCUGUAAUUUAUGAUGGAACAAUUCAAGUUUUUCUUGGAAACAUUUUCUCAGGAAACAUGUGUAGUAAUUCGAGAGAACAUGGAUGCAAAAGUGAAGAAGCUUACCUCAGGAACAAAGCGAGAGAACCCAAAUUUAAUCAGCAAGAGAACAUGCUCCAUGAUGAGGAUUGCUGCAAGUCCUGGCUCUAUUUUCCAUUUCCCCUCCACAUCAUAUAAGCAUACAAGAAGUACGCAGUUGGUGCAUAUCGACAUUAUUAUCAGAAACUAAAAUUCCAACAGACAGGGCCAUCUCAGUAAGAUUGAUGUUAAGUGACGAACUAUUAGCAAGAAAAAAAACAGAACGGGAACACUGCAAUCGGCUCAAGACAAAAUAUGAAAUGCUUUCUGAAAGCGUCAAGUAAUACCAGAUUUAUUACCCCAGAGCUCAUCACCUUUUUCUUAUUACAUAUAGUUCAAUAAUUUGAGAGUUCUUCCACCAAUAUUGCAGAUAAUUUGUGAAGGGUCAACAAAUAUUGUGUGAAUUGUUCACUAGUAUGCGCAAAGUCCCUAAUUGAUUCAAUUCUUCUUCAAUCAAAUUGUUGACAACUUUGUGUCAGGAUCAAAUAACUGCUGACCUAAAACUUCUUAUUCUUACAUCUUCAAUAAGUUUUUAACAGUCCAUGUUUUAGGAAGUUUACCGGUGAAUUAGAUGUUAUCCCUAUGGCCCAUGUGUUGGCCAAAUGUUAAGCUGAUUAGAUAUAAGUAACCAAACAAUCAAAGUGGAACUCCAAUUUAGAGCACUUAUGCAUUCAUGCACAAUACAAAUGUGAUAGCAAUUAAUCUUCGAGUCAGAUGAUGAAAAUUUAUCAUGUCCGAUGCCACUCAGUAUUAUACUCUCUCUCUCUAUAUAUAUAUGAUAGGUAAUAUUAUACUCUAUAUCAUUUAGAAUUAAAAUUAAAUUAAUGCAUCAUUGAAUUGAAUAUGCAAUUCCCGAAAUUCUCCCACACACAAUCCGGUCAACUUGGUAUUUAGCAACCAUGUGAACAUGAGGGGAACAUCAUAUCUAAUGUCAGUCUUUAUAAAUGUUAACCCAUAUAAGUUAUAAGAAAGUGGUACAAUUAAUAUCAGGUGCAAUAUGAUCCUUUUAAAUAUAGAAGUGCAAUCUCAUCCUGGUGUUUUUUUUAUUUUUUUUUUAUUCAUGUUUCAUUUUGUAAAUAUGGAAAAACCAUCUUCCAAACUCAGCUGUGAUCCCUGCUUUCAUGAUACUUGUUCAAUCAAGAAAUUUUCUGACAUGGCUAGGAAAAAAGCUUGCAUGAUGGUCCAACUUUUAAGGUGGUUUUUAGAGUUCAGCAAAGCUAGUUUGCAUUUGUGUUUACUGGGUGGCACGGGAAACAUGUUAAAACACCAUUGGAAACUAGUAAUUAUAACCAAGUGAAUUGAUGACAAUACUUUUCAAGCCCAAAACAAAAGACAAAUACCUGAAAGAUGUUAAGCCAAGCUCCAAUUGUUGCAGCAGCACGAGGAACUGGCCUCUUCAACAUGGCAAGCAGCUUCAGCGCAUCUGCUCUGAUUUCUGUUACAUUGUUCUGCACAACUUGUUUGGACAAAACUUCAGAUUUCAUGUACUUUUGACAUUCAAAACAACUCUGCACUGUGGUGUAAGGGAGCACUAAAAGAAUUAUUUACCAAUGCCGCAAAGGCAAAUGCAAGGGGGAAGGCACAGGCAAACAUCAUAAUCAUUCCAAACUGCAACGCCAACUCCAGAAAGUCUGCAGUUAAUUUUAUUUGAAUCAGCCAGAGAAAUUGAGAAUUGUCGGGAGCCCCAAAGGUUUGAUGCAUUACCAUCAAAAAGUCCAUCUUCAAGUUCUUCUCCAAUACUUGCUGAAUAAGAAGGUUUCAGGUAUUCUUUCUCUACCCGAGAAGUGAACUGGAUCUUCCCUGUUGAUGAUCCCUUCUCAUGUCUUUUCUUGUGCCUUCAAACAGGAAAGAUGCAUGAAUCAUACAUAUGCGUUCCAUAAUUCGUAGGAAGGUAAAGGCAUGCCAUAUUCAAGGGCUGAGAACAUGAUAAUGAAUGAAAGAAGCAUACCGAACUCCAUAUUUUCUGUAACUGUAUUUGAGAUAGGGUAAAGAGUUUUCCAUCAGAUUUUCCAACACCUGGAGAACAUUCCCAGUCAAGAGCACAUCAAAUCUAAAAAGAAGAAAAAUCUGAAAUACAGAAAGGAAACCAAGAACUCUUUUCUUACCAGAGACACAAUCAGACGCUGAAUCAAGACUUGGCGAAGGGUUUUAAAGUCACGGUGUAAAAGGAUAUGAUAGAAGACCCCAAUAUAUGACUGCAUGAAAUAAAGACCAAAUACCUGGAAGAGAAAGUAAAUUGUUUUAAAGAGAAAUUACCCAGACUCAGAGGGUAGAACAAAAAUAAAAUGGCAUGUACAAAUUCCUGCCCAUUACCUUGUAAACCAAGCUGUCGGCCCUAUAUUCUGUGCUUUCAUUGCUUUCAUGUUUAAUGAGCUUGACAGAUAUCUUGCCCCCAAUUUUUGUAAAAUACUGAAUUGCAAGAAGAUAUACGGCUGUAAGCCCAAACCUGAAAGCCAAAUUUGCAUGUCUGUCAUAACCCAUAAUAUUCUUGCAGUAAAUGCAUAAAAAGAUCACACAACAGAAACAUUUAGUACAACGAAUGAGGGAAAGAUCAUAAACCCUGGCAUAUUGAACUUGAAUUGACAAUGAUGCAAAAGAGGGACAAUUGCAUUUCACCUCAUAGAUAUGUUAUCUUGCAUGAAAAGGAAAUGUUUGACAGACUCGAGAAUCCUAGACCAUCCCACAUAUAAAACUUCAAACAAGCCACUAACCAGUGUUCUUUCUUCAAAUUGUGUGAGGUCAUUAGAAAAGGAAUGGAGAACUAAUGGAAGAGACAAAGGAAAUACUCAAACUUUGUGAAAGAUAUCUUGGCCUUGGCCUCCUUAAAUAAUUAGUGGCCAAAAGUUCAGAAAGGAAGAAAGAUAUCCGUCUGCAUUGCAUGGCUAGUAACUGGGUGGCCAGUGGACAUGGGAAGAGGGCUAUAUAAGUCCAGAAUGGAUAGGACAAAAAUGUUUUUAAAUACAAUGUGUUUACAUUAUAAAUUAACUAUUAGUUCAUAUAUUAUGAAAUUUGUGGUGCAAGAAUCUGACUCAUGCUCAAGAUGAGGUUUGCUAGCGUACCCACUCAGCAACUAAAAUGGUUUUGGUUGAUAAAAUCAGAAAGAAAAUAAAUAAAUAAAUUAGAAUUGCUUCAGGAAACUUUGGAAUUUAAUGAUUUUCAGUAAUUUGAGAACUGGGGAGAAGAAAAAGAGUUGUGCAAUGAAUCUCAACUAAUUCAAGACACAAUUUCAUUUGAGAGGCUCCUAAGAUGAUGAUAACACAUACCUGAUUCUUGAAGGAAAUAGAAUUUUCUUGAAAUAAAAAACACAGAUAUAAGAUAAAGAGAAUGGGGAAUAAAUUGAAAAUUUUAAAAAUGUGUUGCAACGCUAAAGCAUGGCAUCAUUUUCCCCAUGAACCUAUAAAAGAGAACUUCCAGACCACAGAUUCUAGAACCUGGAAAGAAAAUGAUGACCAUAACUUCUUUCAUUAAGAAGCAAGAAAAGAAUAAUGAAAUACAAAAGAGUAUAGAUUAGAUUCUUACUUCAAAGCAUCUGGACGGGUAAUCUCAUAAAGAUGAGCAUAAGCUAAUUCAAACGGCAAUUGGAGACAUAUUAUAGUCAAGAAAAUGAUAACAUCGUUUCUGAAUCUCAUCAUAUGUCCAAACCAUUCAGCUCUUUGGAACACUUCUUUUUCUCUUGCUCUAUCAGUCCCCACUUUCUUUACAAGUUCAACAGGGGACUGGAGAGAACUCCAAUCCAAGCCCAAAACUUUACAGCCUGGAUCUGCUACAACUGAGUAACUAAUUUGCCAUCUGCACCACCAAAACACACACACCCAAACACACAGAAUUAAAAACUAAUUAAAUAUAACAAAAUAAAUGGGCAGGUCUAAUAACAUAGAAAGUUGGUUUUCAUAAUAAAUAUUACCUUGCUAAAAGGGCAGCGUUUUUGCGUUUCCAGAACUGGAAAAACAUUACAGCCCAUAAUAUUAUGCUUAUAAAGAAAAUAGGAAGCAUCAUUGACUGUGAUGAUCUGGAAAAAAACAUUAACAAAAACCUAAGUUGUUUAUACGUACAACUGUGUCAAAUGCUGAAAUUGGAGAAAUAAUGUCGGUAAGCAUGUUCAGAGGUAGUGGGACUCACCCUAGAUCAACCAAUUGCAACAUAAUCCCAAGAGCUGCUGGAAAGAGCAUCCAGCGUGCAUACAUUCCAAGAAAAGCAAAAUAGGUUGCAACCUAGAAAGUAUAAAUUCCUUUGUUUAACAUUAUGCAAAAAUUAUUUGACAAUGAACUUCAAAAGGCAAGUAACACCGCAAUAACAUUCACCUUUGUCCCAAAAUAUGAAUAGAUAUCAUCAAUUGGUUGACUUGUAAAGUCCCACCAGUUCAGUGCCCAAUUCCUCAACAGCUGCUUCCUUUUUAUUUCAUCUAUAAGCCAAAACUCAUAUUUCUUUAAGUGACACCAAAGUAGCGGGUAAUUUGAUGGUCAAUAUAGAUUAGCAUACCAUGCAAAGGAAAGACUUGCUUAACUAUGCCCUCUGCUUCCAACCUUUUAAGUAAAGAUUCCCCAAGUUCCCAAUGGAACUCUUUGCCAUCAAAUUUUAGACUAACAGCUGAAUUUCUCUUGUUCACCUGUAAACCUCAGUCAGAAUCAACUAGAGAUGCAUGGUUCAUGAAUUUUUGAAUGGAUAGAAAAUUUCCAUAGGAGUUUUCCAAUGAUAAAUUAGUUCAAACUGUCAGACAGAUGAUUUAUUGCUUUCAAUGCCAUUGGGAGUAGAUACCAUGCGCACAUGAGCAAACUAGCCAAGAAACGUGUAAGUAAAUUCAAAUUGUUACAAGAAAUAAGCUUACUGUUGAGUUGUAAAUAAAAUAGGAGAUUUAUUUUCCUAUUAUGUUAGUUUUCUCUUUUUGUAAAUAGAUAGUUUUAUUAGUUUCAUAUUUCUAUAAAUAGAUAGUUUUAUGAUUUAGGAAUAAGUUAGUUUCCUAUUAUGUCUCUUGUUUCCUAUUUCUUCUCUUGUAAUUUCCUAUAUAAACUGUGUGUAUAGUCAAUCUAAUAGACAAAACUUAUUAUUUUUCAUCCCACAUUUCCUGUCAUGGUAUCAGAGUUGUAGGUUUUUAAGACCUGGGCAUCAUUCUGGCCUUCAUCGCCAUUUUUCUGGCCUUCAUAGAUGGAUUUUUUUAUUUAUUCACGUGUUCUUUACAAACCUAUUGGAACUUGUUCAAUAGUAAAGAAAUGGAGAAGCUGAGAAACUUGUUGGGAUCCCUUAACAAACCUACUAGAACUUGUUCUUUGGCUCUUUCAGAUACACCUUCACUCUCUUUUUGCAUAAAUGUCUCACACAGGGUUUAUGAUGACUCUUGGAUAAUAGACUCCAGUGCCACAGACCAUAUGACCUCCAAAUCUCAACUUUUCCAUACUUAUACCCCAAGCCCAAGUAACAAGAAAAUUGCAAUGGCCAAUGGCUCUUUAGCUACCGUUGCAGGUUUCAGAGACAUAUACAUCACACCUACCUUUAUUCUUAAAAAUGUCCUCCAUGUACCAAAAUUGUCGGCCAACCUUAUUUCCAUUCAAAAGCUUACCCAUGAUCUUAAAUGUUAUGCUAAUUUUUUCCCUUUUUAUUGUGUUUUUCAGGAACAAGGCUCGGGGAGGAGGAUUGGACUUGCUAAGGAAAUGAGCGGUCUUUACCACCAUGAAUCAUCUCAGAAAACUAGUAAUAAUUUGUCGUUGUCUCUUCUCAGUUCCUCAAAAACAGAUAUCAUUUGAUUGUAUCACCUACGUCUAGGUCAUCCAUCUUUUAGGGUUUUAAAGGUCAUGUUUUCUCAUUUGUUCCAAGGAUUAGAUAUUUUUGAGUUUCAUUGCGAAACUUGUGAAUUGGCAAAACAUACUCGUGUAUCUUUUCUUAUUAGCAAUAAAAAAAAGUUCUCAUCUUUUUCAUUUGAUUCAUAGUGACAUUUGGGGUCCUUCGACUAUACCUAAUGUUUCU
rnacentral:lncRNA from 1 species